GCCGUCGAGUAGUAUGUAGGGUAACCUCAUUUUUUUUUUGAAAGACCUUUUUCGGAAGGUAUGCUUAAAGAGGGGCUUGCGUCACAUUAGUUAGUUGGCAGGGUAAAGGCCUACCAAGACUAUGAUGUGUAGCUGGACUGAGAGGUUGAACAGCCACAUUGGCACUGAGACACGGCCCAAACUCCUACGGGAGGCAGCAGUAGGGAAUUUUCGGCAAUGGAGGAAACUCUGACCGAGCAACGCCGCGUGAACGAUGAAGUAUUUCGGUAUGUAAAGUUCUUUUAUUGAAGAAGAAAAAAUAGUGGAAAAACUAUCUUGACGAUAUUCAAUGAAUAAGCCCCGGCAAACUAUGUGCCAGCAGCCGCGGUAAUACAUAGGGGGCGAGCGUUAUCCGGAAUUAUUGGGCGUAAAGGGUGCGUAGGCGGUUUAAUAAGUCUAUAGUUUAAUUUCAGUGCUUAACACUGUCCUGCUAUAGAAACUAUUAGACUAGAGUGAGAUAGAGGCAAGUGGAAUUCCAUGUGUAGCGGUAAAAUGCGUAAAUAUAUGGAGGAACACCAGAGGCGUAGGCGGCUUGCUGGGUCUUUACUGACGCUGAGGCACGAAAGCGUGGGGAGCAAACAGGAUUAGAUACCCUGGUAGUCCACGCCGUAAACGAUGAGUACUAAGUGUCGGGAUUACUCGGUACUGAAGUUAACACAUUAAGUACUCCGCCUGAGUAGUACGUACGCAAGUAUGAAACUUAAAGGAAUUGACGGGACUCCGCACAAGCGGUGGAUCAUGUUGUUUAAUUCAAAGAUACACAAAAAACCUUACCAGGUCUUGACAUACUCUGCAAAGCUAUAGCAAUAUAGUGGAGGUUAUCAAGAAUACAGGUGGUGCAUGGUUGUCGUCAGCUCGUGUCGUGAGAUGUUAGGUUAAGUCCUAAAACGAGCGCAACCCUUGUCAUUAGUUGCCAAGCAUGUCAUGAUGGGCACUUUACGAGACUGCCAAUGAAAAACUGAAGGAAAGUGAGGAUCACGUCAAAUCAUCAUGCCCCUUAUGAUCUGGGCUACAAACGUGAUACAAUGGCUGUUACAAAGAGUAGCUGAAACGCAAGUUUAUAGCCAAUCUCAUAAAAGCAGUCUCAGUUCGGAUUGAAGUCUGCAACUCGACUUCAUGAAGUUGGAAUCGCUAGUAAUCGCGAAUCAGCAUGUCGCG
rnacentral:rRNA from 1 species